rnacentral:rRNA from 1 species
AGCGAACGCUGGCGGCAGGCCUAACACAUGCAAGUCGAACGGACCCUUCGGGGUUAGUGGCGGACGGGUGAGUAACACGUGGGAACGUGCCUUUAGGUUCGGAAUAGCUCCUGGAAACGGGUGGUAAUGCCGAAUGUGCCCUUCGGGGGAAAGAUUUAUCGCCUUUAGAGCGGCCCGCGUCUGAUUAGCUAGUUGGUGAGGUAACGGCUCACCAAGGCGACGAUCAGUAGCUGGUCUGAGAGGAUGACCAGCCACACUGGGACUGAGACACGGCCCAGACUCCUACGGGAGGCAGCAGUGGGGAAUCUUGCGCAAUGGGCGAAAGCCUGACGCAGCCAUGCCGCGUGAAUGAUGAAGGUCUUAGGAUUGUAAAAUUCUUUCACCGGGGACGAUAAUGACGGUACCCGGAGAAGAGGCCCCGGCUAACUUCGUG